rnacentral:lncRNA from 1 species
GAUGAUGUCAGCCAUGGCAGAUACAGCUCUUCCACCUACAUUGCAGAUCCACAGGCUUACCACUCCCCCCAGCCUUCUCUUAGAUGGGCCCCUGGACUCCAGAACAGCCAUUGACCCACAGGUGUUCCUUCCCAGCUUCCAAGCUCACAGGAGGCUCAGUGGGGACUCUCCUCCUAGUACAUGGCCACCCACAGGCACUUUCAACAACACAGGUCCCUUCUACAUUCUGGGAUCCUGCUGCCUUACCCAGCAGUGGGAUAAUGGGAAGGGAAAGAGCUGCAACAAACAGAGCAGAGGCCACAAGCCUCACCUUCCCUCAUGGUAAAGGAAUGCGGGAAUCCUACCAGCCCAGGGAGCUUCUUCCCAAAUAUACCUAGAAGCCCAGCACCAGCUGAGGGAUUCACUCCACCACAGCUGGGCAUGGGAGAUUUCAAUGUGUGCUGGAGACCUUGAUCCUGGUCACCCUACAAGGAAUACCUCUCCUCCAGGUCACAUUAUGCUGAUACUCUCCUUAACCUGGAUGGACUCCUUGUCCUCACCACAUGGUGUUGGCCAGAAGUGUUACUCCUGGUGCCCCAGCCCUGAGUCCUUGUCUCCUGUCCAAGUGAUAGCCAUAGAAAUAGUAAAAUAGUGGCACAUUAGACCUCAUGACAUUUUUAAGGCUGACCAUAUUUAUAUAAGGCUGACCAUAUUUAUAAGCAUUUCAUCCAGAUAUUUAUGAAUUUAUCUCAUUUAUUUAUUUAUAGCUUUCAUUUCAAAAUCAAUUUUUGCUUGAGAAUUAUUUUAACAUAUAACCAAAUGUUCAGAGCUAUGACAUUUAGGUUUUAAGCUCAAAAGUCUGUAUCUGCUAUUACGUUGGGUAAAACCUAUCCAGCGCUUAAAAAAAUAAGUAAUUAUUAGGCAUGGCCACUGUAUUGGUCUGAAACACUGAAAUUCUCCACAAACCCUUUUGAAAAUAUUCCUGGUGGGACUGAACACAGUACUUGCUUCUCAUGAAUAGAAAACAGUGCAAGCAUUUUCUGGAUACUGGGCCACCUCUGGCCUAGGUUAGAAGAAGUGACACAGCUCUGCCUUAGUCUCUUGCUCAUGGGGCAAACCCCUCAGAAGACCCCAACCAGUACAUCACGAACUCUAACACCUUGAUAACACUAUGCAGAAGGGACAUUCCAUGGAGAGACUCUUAGAAAUAGAAGGAGGGCCAGGCACGGUCGUUUACACCUGUAAUCCCAGCACUCUGGGAGGCCGAGGUGGGCAGAUCACGAGAUCAGGAGAUCAAGACCAUCCUGGCUAGCACAGUGAAACCCCAUCUCUACUAAAAGUAAAAAAAAAAUUAGCUAGGCGUGGUGGUGGGCGCCUGUAGCCCAGCUACUCAGGAGGCUGAGGCAGGAGAAUGGUGUGAACCCAGGAGGCAGAACUUGCAGUGAAUCAAGAUUGCGCUACUGCACUCCAGCCUGGGAAACAGUGCAAGACUCCAUUUCAAACAAAAAAAAAAAAAAA